UACGUAGGGGGCAAGCGUUGUCCGGAUUUAUUGGGCGUAAAGAGCGUGUAGGCGGCCAUACAGGUCAGCUGUGAAAACUCGAGGCUCAACCUCGAGACGUCGGUUGAAACCGUUUGGCUAGAGUCCGGAAGAGGAGAGUGGAAAUUCCCGGUGUAGCGGUGAAAUGCGCAGAUAUCGGGAAGAACACCCGUGGCGAAGGCGGCUCUCUGGGACGGUACUGACGCUGAGACGCGAAAGCGUGGGGAGCGAACAGG
rnacentral:rRNA from 1 species